rnacentral:rRNA from 1 species
GAUGAACGCUGGCGGCGUGCCUAAUACAUGCAAGUCGAGCGAACAGACGAGGAGCUUGCUCCUCUGACGUUAGCGGCGGACGGGUGAGUAACACGUGGAUAACCUACCUAUAAGACUGGGAUAACUUCGGGAAACCGGAGCUAAUACCGGAUAAUAUAUUGAACCGCAUGGUUCAAUAGUGAAAGACGGUUUUGCUGUCACUUAUAGAUGGAUCCGCGCCGCAUUAGCUAGUUGGUAAGGUAACGGCUUACCAAGGCGACGAUGCGUAGCCGGCCUGAGAGGGUGAUCGGCCACACUGGAACUGAGACACGGUCCAGACUCCUACGGGAGGCAGCAGUAGGGAAUCUUCCGCAAAGGGCGAAAGCCUGACGGAGCAACGCCGCGUGAGUGAUGAAGGUCUUCGGAUCGUAAAACUCUGUUAUUAGGGAAGAACAAAUGUGUAAGUAACUAUGCACGUCUUGACGGUACCUAAUCAGAAAGCCACGGCUAACUACGUG